GGGCCAAGAAGGGGGAAGGCAGAAAAGCCUAAAGAUGUGGUAUUAGUUUCCACUCAUGGUAAAUGAGAAGUGAAGAUAAAACACCCCUGAAAAAGUGCAUCUCUCUAGAAAUAGAUCUGGAUUUGCAGGCAUUCCAUUUAUGGGCACCUGUUUCAGAAGUAGGUCUGUGGUUAUAACAGAGAGAUACCCAUAACAAUCUUCAUUUACACAAAGGACUUUUAUUCUAUAAAGCAUUGGUUUGCAAACUUUUGCAUUUCUUGAGACAGUAAAAUGUCUCUUCCUUCAACCCCCACACCUCCAAAAGGGAAGGGCAUUGACAUAAAGUUAUGUUCUUUUAAUUUUACCAAGUAAGAAUUUGAGCAAUACAUUUACUGUCAUAAUUAUUUCAUGAACAGAGCAUUUUACUUCAAUAAUUAAAUAAGCAUUUUUUGAGAUCCAGUAGCCCCAAACACUGUGCUAAGUAGUGGCUGUUUAAUGGCAGACACGAUAGGCAUGGCCCCUGCUCUGAUGGGACUUAGAGUCGGAUGGAGGAGGGGCAUGAAACAAGCCAAUACAUAAGAACACAUAGAAAGGGUACUCUGAAGAGAGACACAGAGCUAAGAUCAAGGUGAGGGGAGAUGGCUUGCCUUUUGGUGGCAUGGUCAGGGAAGGACUGUCCUACAAAGAUGCAAUAAACAGGGACAAUGACAUUGAGACACAAAGGGAGAGAAGGAGCUGAGUAAGGAAAGGGAAAUAAGUGUUCCUCCUUAGGAUUUGUUGUUUUCCCUGAAACAGGCUGGAGUUGUUCCCUGGCAGAAAAUAAGACUGGGCUGCACAAAGCUUUUCCACAGGCAGGCAGGCAACUCGGAGCUGUGGGUUGAAUGCAUAACUCAUUCACUCACUUACCAAAUAUUUCUUGAGUGCCAACUGUGUGCAACCGUGUGCAUGACGCUGUGCAGCGCACCGCAGG
rnacentral:lncRNA from 10 species